rnacentral:rRNA from 1 species
CAGAGGGUGCGAGCGUUGUCCGGAAUCACUGGGCGUAAAGGGCGCGUAGGUGGCGCUGCAAGUCGGUGGUGAAAGCUCGAUGCUUAACAUCGAGUCGGCCAUCGAAACUGCGGGGCUCGAGCACUGUAGGGGCAGAUGGAAUUCCGGGUGUAGCGGUGGAAUGCGUAGAGAUCCGGAAGAACACCGGUGGCGAAGGCGGUCUGCUGGGCAGUUGCUGACACUGAGGCGCGACAGCGUGGGGAGCAAACAGGAUUAGAUACCCUGGUAGUCCACGCCGUAAACGAUGGGCACUAGAUGCUUGGGGGAGCGACCCCCUGAGUGUCGUCGCUAACGCAGUAAGUGCCCCGCCUGGGGAGUACGGCCGCAAGGCUG